rnacentral:rRNA from 1 species
AGAGUUUGAUCCUGGCUCAGGACGAACGCUGGCGGCGUGCCUAACACAUGCAAGUCGAGCGGAGACAGUGAGUAGCUUGCUAUGAGCUGUUUUAGCGGCGGACGGGUGAGUAACGCGUGAGCAACCUUUCCCAGACAGGGGAAUAACACACCGAAAGGUGUACUAAUACCGCACAAGACCACGGGAUCACAUGGUUCUGAGGUAAAAGAAUUAUCGGUUUGGGGUGGGCUCGCGUCCGAUUAGGUAGUUGGUGAGGUAACGGCCCACCAAGCCGACGAUCGGUAGCCGACCUGAGAGGGUGAUCGGCCACAUUGGGACUGAGACACGGCCCAAACUCCUACGGGGGGCAGCAGUGGGAAUAUUGGGCAAUGGGGGAAACCCUGACCCAGCAACGCCGCGUGGAGGAAGAAGGUUUUCGGAUCGUAAACUCCUGUCCUUGGAGACGAGUAGAAGACGGUAUCCAAGGAGGAAGCCCCGGCUAACUACGUGCCAGCAGCCGCGGUAAUACGUAGGGGGCAAGCGUUGUCCGGAAUAAUUGGGCGUAAAGGGCGCGUAGGCGGCUCGGUAAGUCUGGAGUGAAAGUCCUGCUUUUAAGGUGGGAAUUGCUUUGGAUACUGUCGGGCUUGAGUGCAGGAGAGGUUAGUGGAAUUCCCAGUGUAGCAGUGAAAUGCGUAGAGAUUGGGAGGAACACCAGUGGCGAAGGCGACUAACUGGACUGUAACUGACGCUGAGGCGCGAAAGUGUGGGGAGCAAACAGGAUUAGAUACCCUGGUAGUCCACACUGUAAACGAUGAAUGCUAGGUGUAGGGGGUAUCGACCCCUUCUGUGCCGCAGUCAACACAAUAAGCAUUCCGCCUGGGGAGUACGGCCGCAAGGUUGAAACUCAAAGGAAUUGACGGGGGCCCGCACAAGCAGCGGAGCAUGUGGUUUAAUUCGACGCAACGCGAAGAACCUUACCAGGUCUUGACAUCCACUUAAACUUACAGAGAUGUAAGGUGUGCUUGCGCAAAGUGAGACAGGUGGUGCAUGGUUGCCGUCAGCUCGUGUCGUGAGAUGUUGGGUUAAGUCCCGCAACGAGCGCAACCCUUAUCUUCAGUUACUAACGCGUAAAGGUGAGGACUCUGAAGAGACUGCCGGGGACAACUCGGAGGAAGGUGGGGACGACGUCAAAUCAUCAUGCCCCUUAUGACCUGGGCUACACACGUGCUACAAUGGCCACGACAGAGAGAAGCGAAAUCGCAAGGUAGAGCGGAACUCAAAAAAGUGGUCCCAGUUCGGAUUGUGGGCUGCAACCCGCCCACAUGAAGUCGGAGUUGCUAGUAAUCGCGGAUCAGCAUGCCGCGGUAAAUACGUUCCCGGGCCUUGUACACACCGCCCGUCACACCAUGGGAGUUGGGAGUGCCCAAAGCCGGUGAGGCAACCGCAAGGAGCCAGCCGUCUAAGGCAAGACCAAUGACUGGGGUGAAGUCGGAACAAGGUA